ACAACAAAUAGAAAGUGGGGAGGAAGAACCAGAGAGGCCUGUUGUGGAAGAGAGAUUCGAAAGUCCAGGAAAAUAACGGCAAGAGGACACAGAGGGUGAUGGAACAGAGAGACAGGGCUUAGAAGAUGAAGGGGCUGUAGAAGAUGAAGACAUUUUAUCAGUGAAAAAUGCAGACAUUGAAGAACAACAGACGGAAAAUGGAAGGGAAGAACCAGAGAGACCUGUUGAGGAAGAGAGAAGAGAGAAAGAGGGAGUCAUAUUAAAACCAGAAUGCAAAUCAGCUGUGAACAUGGCAGCAAAGAGAAAGCGGCAAAAAAAGACUGACACAGAAUGUCCAUUUCAUGCGUCUCUGGACGUAUUUCCAGUGGAAUUUGUAUCCAAGACGCGUCUCAGAAAGGGACGUAAAGAGGUGUUGGUGCAUUGGUUGCCUUGUCCAGCCUGUAAGAAGACAUGGCCACCCACCUGGCAGCCUGAAGAUCAUGUUCAAAUUACUCUGAAUCAAUGUUAAUAAUAUUACCGGUUCAUGAAGAGAGUUUUUUGUUUGUUUGUUUUUGAACCACAGUUUCUGUUAUAGUGGAAAAAUAAAGGUUUUUGUUUUCACUAAGUCCAUUUACAUAUUUUGACCUUUAAAAAGCACCACAUUUUAUGCCUGAAAUAUCCAGGUGCUGGAGCUUCUCCCAGCUACCACAGGCCAAAGGUAUAACAUCACCCUGAACAGAUGAGCAGUCUGUCACAGAGACGACACACACGAUAUACCUGCAUGUUUUUAAUGUGCAUACAACACUGGUGCAGCCAGAGGAAACCCACAGCAACACCGGGGAAACUAUCAACCAGGAACGGCUCAAGGAAAUAUGAAGUCAUUUGUAGUCUUACAUUCUUACAUAGUCAUUUUUAAAUG